UACGUAGGCAGCAAGCGUUGUUCGGAGUUACUGGGCGUAAAGGGUGCGUAGGCGGUCCUAUAAGUAUGGUGUGAAAUCUCCCGGCUUAACUGGGAGGGUGCGCUAUAGACUGUGGGACUAGAGUGUGGGAUGGGUAAGUGGAAUUCCUGGUGUAGCGGUGAAAUGCGUAGAUAUCAGGAGGAACACCGGUGGUGUAGACGGCUUACUGGACCAUAACUGACGCUGAGACACGAAAGCGUGGGUAGCAAACAGG
rnacentral:rRNA from 1 species